UACGAAGGGGGCUAGCGUUGCUCGGAAUGACUGGGCGUAAAGGGCGCGUAGGCGGAUUGUACAGUCAGGCGUGAAAUUCCCGGGCUCAACCUGGGGGGCUGCGCUUGAGACGUGCGAUCUUGAGUGGGGAAGAGGGUCGUGGAAUUCCCAGUGUAGAGGUGAAAUUCGUAGAUAUUGGGAAGAACACCGGUGGCGAAGGCGGCGACCUGGUCCCUUGACUGACGCUGAGGCGCGAAAGCGUGGGGAGCAAACAGG
rnacentral:rRNA from 1 species